CCUUUUGAGGAAGUAGAGAUGUUGUUGUGCUUUCUUAGCUGUCACAUCGACGUGGGUGGACCAGGACAGUUUGUUGGUGAUCAGCACUCCCAGAAACUUGAAGCUUUCGACCAUCUCCACCUCAGCACGGGCUGGAAAGUGCAUCUCAUGGGAAGAGACGGCUGUAAAAUGAACCCCCGCCGAAUGCAGACAUUACAGAGGACCCAGCAACUCCAGCAAGAAAAAUCUGGGACUCUGGC